CCGCCGUGUCUUGUUUUCACAGGACUACCCAGUUCAGCCCUGAGUUCGGGUGAGGUCUUCUCAAAAGUCACACCUGUCAACUCUUGUUCAAGCAACUGCGUAGAGACAGAGCGGUGUUUCCAAAGAGGGGUCACCAGAAGAGGGG